UACGUAGGUGGCGAGCGUUGUCCGGAUUUACUGGGCGUAAAGGGAGCGUAGGCGGACUUUUAAGUGAGAUGUGAAAUUCUCGGGCUCAACUUGAGUGCUGCAUUUCAAACUGGAAGUCUAGAGUGCAGGAGAGGAGAAUGGAAUUCCUAGUGUAGCGGUGAAAUGCGUAGAGAUUAGGAAGAACACCAGUGGCGAAGGCGAUUCUCUGGACUGUAACUGACGCUGAGGCUCGAAAGCGUGGGGAGCAAACAGG
rnacentral:rRNA from 1 species